rnacentral:tRNA from 1 species
CAAUUGAUAUCUUAAGUUUAAGAAUUGAAUUUUUAAUUCAAAAUAUAGUUUAUUAAUAAAUACUUCAAUUGA